UUCUUUCCCUUUCCACCCGUGCUUUCUAUCUCAGGCAUAGUUGCUCCACCGCGUUGGCUGCCGUCGUCAGUGGUCGAUCAAGACCAAAAUUCACCAGUUGGCUCGCUUUGACCUCUUGAUCAUGGAUCUGAAGUCCGUUUCUCCAAAUCAUCGUCGUUUGUUGUAGAUCUUGGAAAAACUUCUCGACUCCUUUGAAGUAAGACACCUCCAUUCGUCGCCGCAUAGAUCUCAUUUAUACUUCAUGUUUCGUUUCAUUGAUUGAAUCCAUAUCAUGAAUUGGCUGUUAUCGAUCUGGAUGCUUCAAGAAACCCCUGAGGGAAGCCCUCCUAAUUGGAGAUUACAAGCGGUGAAAUGACUGUUAUCGAUCUGGAUGCUUCGGGAAACCCCAUUGUUACAAGUUGAUCGGACCGGAAUAUCAACUUUUCUGAUGCAACAUCCAUCUUCUAGUUGGUUAUUACUGGUACCGUACAAUUUAAUGAGCUGAAUCCGGGAAUUUAUGUAACUACUUCCAGCAUUUGUGAUUAUCCAGUUCAGUUAUAGAGCACAAUGUAAGUAUUUCAUAA